rnacentral:rRNA from 1 species
AACGAACGCUGGCGGCAUGCCUAACACAUGCAAGUCGAACGAGACCUUCGGGUCUAGUGACGCACGGGUGCGUAACGCGUGGGAACCUGCCCUUAGGUUCGGAAUAACUCCCCGAAAGGGGUGCUAAUACCGGAUAAUGUCUUCGGACCAAAGAUUUAUCGCCUUUGGAUGGGCCCGCGUUGGAUUAGCUAGUUGGUAGGGUAAAAGCCUACCAAGGCGACGAUCCAUAGCUGGUCUGAGAGGAUGAUCAGCCACACUGGGACUGAGACACGGCCCAGACUCCUACGGGAAGCAGCAGUGGGGAAUAUUGGACAAUGGGCGAAAGCCUGAUCCAGCAAUGCCGCGUGAGUGAUGAAGGCCUUAGGGUUGUAAAGCUCUUUUACCCGGGAUGAUAAUGACAGUACCGGGAGAAUAAGCCCCGGCUAACUCCGUG